AUUGAACGCUGGCGGAAUGCUUUACACAUGCAAGUCGAACGGCAGCACGGACUUCGGUCUGGUGGCGAGUGGCGAACGGGUGAGUAAUAUAUCGGAACGUGCCCAGUCGUGGGGGAUAACGUAGUGAAAAUUACGCUAAUACCGCAUACGAUCUAUGGAUGAAAGCGGGGGAUCGCAAGACCUCGCGCGAUUGGAGCGACCGAUAUCAGAUUAGGUAGUUGGUGAGGUAAAGGCUCACCAAGCCGACGAUCUGUAGCUGGUCUGAGAGGACGACCAGCCACACUGGAACUGAGACACGGUCCAGACUGCUACGGGAGGCAGCAGUGGGGAAUUUUGGACAAUGGACGCAAGUCUGAUCCAGCCAUUCCGCGUGCAGGACGAAGGCCUUCGGGUUGUAAACUGCUUUUGUACAGAACGAAAAGGUCUCUAUUAAUACUAGGGGCUCAUGACGGUACUGUAAGAAUAAGCACCGGCUAACUACGUGCCAGCAGCCGCAGUAA
rnacentral:rRNA from 1 species